rnacentral:tRNA from 1 species
GGUUCUAUGGUGUAAUGGUUAGCACAGAGGACUUUGAAUCCUGCGAUUUGAGUUCCAUUCUCAGUAGAAACU